GUUGCAAAUUUUCUUAAAAUUAAAAGUGAAAUAACAAUAAAAGAAAGUUAUGCAUUUCAUUCAAAAGUGUUUGUUUACUUUCCUGAGUGUAAUUUUAAAAGUUCAUCUUUUCAAUUUCAAAAACUGUUAAACUAUCAAAAAACUGUUCAACUGUCAACAAAAAGUUCUGAAAAAACAGAGAAGAAGAAGAAUAUAUUUUCGAAUUGGCACUAUGGUACAUCGUGUGGCAAAAAAGCAACAAAUGAAAUCAAUUGAGUUCAAAAUGAAUUAAGUCAUAGGCUAGGUCAUAGGUAUAAAACUUACUGUUCUACAUCAAUUUCGUUAUCAAUAAAUAAAUAUUAGCUCUACAAAUACCAUUCAAAUCCAUUUAUUUGCCAGCUCAAUUAUAAACUAUUUUAGCCAUCCAAGUUUUAAAAUUGUGGUAAUGCCUAUUUAUUUUAUUGUCAUAUUAACACUCAUAGUGCCUAUCAUAUUUUUCACUCUCGUCUUUCCCCCGCACAGUCGCACGCAAAGCAUCACAACGAAAACAGUGAAUCUGUCAACAUGCAAAAUUCCGGAUUUGUUUUUGCAACCCAAUAUUGCUUUUUCGGUUGUAUUCGAUUGCCUUUGCCAACCAAGAAGAUAAUUCGCAUGAGUCGGAACUUCUGGCGGACAAGAAAGAUGGCGCAGUAUCUCCACAUGCUAACGACGUGCACUCCGAUGAGUAACUGUAUUUCUCCGAAGCGGCCACCUUUGCAUUUUAGACGUAGCUGUAACGUGUAGUACAAAAUAAUUCUGAAAAUGCAAUUAAACAUUAAAAGCUA